UACGUAGGGUGCGAGCGUUAAUCGGAAUUACUGGGCGUAAAGCGUGCGUAGGCGGUCCCGCAAGUCCGCUGUGAAAGCCCCGAGCUUAACUUGGGAACUGCAGUGGAAACUAUGGGACUUGAAUCCGGCAGAGGGGGGUGGAAUGCCACGUGUAGCAGUGAAAUGCGUAGAGAUGCGGAGGAACACCGGUGGCGAAGGCGACUCUUUGGCCUGUAACUGACGCUGAGGCGCGAAAGCGUGGGGAGCAAACAGG
rnacentral:rRNA from 1 species